AGUGAACGCUGGCGGUAGGCCUAACACAUGCAAGUCGAACGGCAGCACAGUAAGAGCUUGCUCUUACGGGUGGCGAGUGGCGGACGGGUGAGGAAUACAUCGGAAUCUACUUUUUCGUGGGGGAUAACGUAGGGAAACUUACGCUAAUACCGCAUACGACCUACGGGUGAAAGCAGGGGAUCUUCGGACCUUGCGCGAUUGAAUGAGCCGAUGUCGGAUUAGCUAGUUGGCGGGGUAAAGGCCCACCAAGGCGACGAUCCGUAGCUGGUCUGAGAGGAUGAUCGGCCACAUGGGAGGUGAGACACGGUCAAGACGCCUACGGGAGGGAGCAGUGGGGAAUAUUGGGCAAUGGGCGCAAGCCUGAUCCAGCCAUACCGCGUGGGUGAAGAAGGCCUUCGGGUUGGAAAGCCCUUUUGUUGGGAAAGAAAAGCAGCAGGUUAAGACCCCGCGGUUCUGACGGUACCCAAAGAAUAAGCACCGGCUAACUUCGUG
rnacentral:rRNA from 1 species